rnacentral:tRNA from 8 species
GGUGACGUGGCCAAGUGGUAAGGCAAGGGUCUGCAAAACCCUCAUUCACCAGUUCAAAUCUGGUCGUCACCUCCA